ACCUGGUGCUCCGCCUCCGCGGUGGGGCCAAGAAGCGCAAGAAGAAGACGUACACCAAGCCCAAGAAGAUCAAGCACAAGCACAAGAAGGUGAAGCUCGCCGUGCUGCAGUUUUACAAGGUGGACGACGCCACCGGCAAGGUCACCCGCCUCCGCAAGGAAUGCCCCAACGCCGACUGCGGCGCGGGCACCUUCAUGGCCAACCACUUCGACCGCCACUACUGCGGCAAGUGCGGCCUCACCUACGUCUACAACCAGAAGGCGUAAUCGCUUCGCUUGCAUCGCUUUGCUUAGCUUUACCCGCCUACCUAUCAUGAAUUGAGCUGUUGGUUACCUGAAUU
rnacentral:lncRNA from 1 species